rnacentral:misc_RNA from 1 species
GUAGGUGAACCUGCGGAAGGAUCAUUAUUGAAUCCUUAGGAUGUCGCUGGCCUUUGCAAAAAGGCAUGUGCACUCCGCCUUUCAAUCCACCUGUGCACUUAUUGUAGGCUUUGGAAAGGGGAAACCCUAAUCAACCUACGUAUUUUUACACACACUAUUAAAGUAACAGAAUGUAACUUAGUAGACCUUUGAUGGUCGAAAACCUAAAUACAACUUUCAACAACGGAUCUCUUGGUUCUC